CGAAAGGUCACUAGGGAUGGCAAAAUGUCUCAUACGCAGGGCGGAAACAUGGUCUCAGCCCGAAUCCUCCUCGAUUAACAUUUCUUUUUAUUUUUAUGUUUAUAAAUUUAAAUAAUAUUUUAAAAAUAAAAGUAAGUAAAAGAAUAAAAAUAUAUUCUUUGUUACUCGCAGCAAGAAAAGUCCACAAAAAAGAUUCAACCCUGAAAAGAUGAAACCUAACUUUUCUAGUCAUAUUUUCACACUGACUGCAUCUCUAUUUUUCAACUGAUUAGUUGUUGAAAAACAAAGUAAACUUCAAAGAAAAUGUAAUUUAUGGCGCAUUGAACUGUUUUUUCAAUUUUGAAGAUAUAAAGAAGAGAGUUGCAAUAAGUGUAUGUUGACAAUUAUCAUAAAAUUUUGUCAAAUCUUACAAAAUGUACAUAUAGCUCCCGUUUGAUUCCCAUUUAUUCAAGAAUGAAAAUGAAAAAUAUAGUCGUUACGAGACUCACACAAGAGAGAGAAAGUCAAAUAUAAUGACUUAAAGUACUGGAUAGUAGUCAUAUUUUUCAUUUUUAUGGUCAAAGAAUGGGAAACAAACGGGUCAUAGUUGGAAUACAUCCAUGUCCCCAUAGUAAGGACUGCUUGUUUUAUGUAAGUCUUGUUUUAACGGUGGACACGUAAAAUUUUCAAAAGUGUUUAUUUGACCAGACAAAAUUGGACUUUUGACUCCACCGAACAAAAGGUUUUAGCCAUUUACAUAAUUGUUUGUCAAUAUUAGUAGAGCCAAAAAUAACAUGGCUAGUGACAAAGGAUGCAGCUGGCUUAAAUUUUUCAAUAAAUCUAAUAAUAAAUCGAAGAGAUGGCACAAAGAAUUCGUCUAGUUUUCCUAGAUUUAUUGAGUUAAGGCUUUAUUUUUAUUUUUUUUCCUAUACAAGUAGUCACGUAUUGCGUGAAUUCCAUUAAAACAUAAAUCUAUAAAAUUCUUAAAUUUGUCUCUUAAUCUUAGGGUCCGUUUGAUUUGACCUGUUUUCCAUGAAAAUAUUUUCCAUUUUCCAACUAUGGCAUGUUUGAUGGCAAUAAUUUUCUUGGCAAUUUACUUCUUUCCUCCACACAUGUACCAUUUCCUUGGUUUUGUGGAACAUCAAUUCCCACCAAACCAAUGGGAAUUGGUUUUGCAGCCCCCCUCCCCCCUCCUUUUUUCGUAUUUGGAACAAAUUUUAUUUCCAAUUGCAAUAAAUUUUGUCCCUUUAAUUGACAAUUUUCAUAAAAAAACAAAGUACAAAGUCAAACAAACACCAAAAGAUAUAAAAUUUUAACAUUUUUCGGGUGGAAAAUUAUACCAAUCAAAUACAUUAGUUGACAAUUCUCAGGAAAACAAGUUCUAGAUAAUUCAAUUAUCUGAGAUUCGUUUUUUUUUUCACCUAAAUUCCAUUCUUGACCCUUAGUAUAAUUUCCUCCAUGAAAAAAAAAAAGGUUGAAUUUACCUUUAAAUGCAGCGUGGCCAGCGGCCGGAGCUGUGUUGCCUUCCCCUCCUACAUCAUGUCUUAUUCAAGUCUUGUUUGGCUAUUGAAAAUAAAACAAAAAGUGAUUAUAUUAUAUUGUCCAGAAACACUUAAUCCUGAGAAAAUUCGUUUAUUUUUAGCAAGAAAUGGCUAUGGAAUACUGAAUUUUUGGAGGAUUUGAGGGGAAUGAAGCCUGGUCCGAGAUCAGUCGCAGGAUGUCUGAAUAUCAUGGAAUGGUCUCGAACCAGGCAACAUUCACCUCAACAAUUCAUCUGUAUUACGAGAGAGAGAGAGAAAAGAUGGGAGUGUUUGAUUUUAACACGGCUAUACAUGCAUUGCUUUCAUGGGGCCUUUAUAUAUACGUGAGGAUGACAGAUGACUACUACUGCUACUUUCUACACCUCAUUUCAUGCUUUUCACACACACACACACCCACACACACGAUAUUAAGAUGGGAAUUAUUUGUAUAAAACACAUGAUUUGAAAGUUUAAGCUGUUAAAAACGAGUACACGUAUGUCAACACGUUUCUUCACAUGAGACGAGUUUCAUUUUUUGGUGAAAUAUAAACUUUCUUGUUUAAAAAUGUGACACGUAUAUAAUUUAAAUAUUGUCGUAAAGCUUUGAGAAGAAAAGGGCAUCAAAUUUUUUAUUUUUCUUUUUUCAAUUUAGAAUCGAGUAUAUUGCGUUAAAGAUUAGCCGAAAUCCGUCUUUCUCAUGGUUGUCGGUUAUUGGGGGCAAUGCAUGAAUUUAGACAUGUUUAGUAUGUAUGAUAAUUACUAAGGCCCUAUUUGAAAGUGAUUUUGAGAAUUGAUUUUGUGACCGUUAGGAAAAAAGUGGGAAUCACUUGUGAGAGAAGAAGUCAAAUUUUACGGGUGGAAUAGUAAAAUAACGGUUAAAAAAUCAAUUUUUUAGAAUGAAAAAUCACUCCCAAACAAGCUCUAAAUUGGAUUAGACAAUACAAUGGACUCUCAAAUAUUUUAUCCAUAGUCGUCCGAGUCUAAUUAAUAUCACUUGUCAUUAAUGAUCACAGCUUAAUAAAUUAAUUUGUUGGUUAUAACUUAUGACUAAAAUAAAUGAUUCUUUUUGUAGCCUUCAAUAAGUAAAGCUGAUAAAGAUGGAAAUCGAGGACCUAAUCAGUCAUUGUCCCUAAAGAGUGAUUCCAAACUUGAAUCUAAAGGAAUUAGGGGUUGGCUACUAAAAGCAAGAUCAGAAUCAAAAGAGACAAGAAGGAACUCGAAUCAGACACAUAAUUCGAUCAGUAGUGCCCUGACUAUAGACGAGAUAGGCGAUCGCCUAAGGCCCCGCUUUGAUGAGGGCCCCAAAUUAUAUAAGGUUAAUUGGUUGGUUAAAGAAAAAUGAAAAUUAUAUUUAUAAAAUUCUUUAAAAUAGAAUUAUCACAUGCAAACACAAUAAACCAAUAAAAAUUGAAAAUACAAAAAUCUUUUAAAAAAUAUAUAAAUGACAUAAAACUUAUUACUUACAUUUAUUUAUCACAUAAAUAUAUCACAAAUAUUACUUUAUUUCUUUAUGACUAAUUUGACACUUUAUUUUUUAAACAUUUCUUUUCUUUUCUUAACCAAAUAAAAUGUCUCUUUAUCUAUUCAAAUUCCACUCACCCAUCAUAGUUUUUUUCAACAAAACAAGAAAUAAAGAGUAAUGCUAUUUAUAAUUGCUUAUUGUCAUAAUCGUCUUAUGUGGCGGUUAGUGAUUUGAUGCAUUACUACCACAUUGAUGGAUCAAAUCACUAGCCGUCACAUGUAUAUCAUAUAGGGCAAUUGUAGUAGUAAGCGACUGCAAAUAUAAUUAUUCAGAAAUUAGUUAUCUNUAUUUUUUCUAUAGAAAUGAAAAACCUACUUACCCAUUAAACAUAUUAUAUGCCUAUGUUUGGACCUUAUUUUUUCAAAAAAUCAUUUUAUUUUUUCAAAACUCAUUUUGAACUACAUAUUCUCCCAUAAAAUAAUUUUACACACAAAUUCAAUACUUUUCUUUAUUUUUUAAUUAAAUAUUCUCUUACAAAAUAUUAUUCUAAAAUGCAUUUUGACUAAAAAAUGAGACUCAAAUAGAGACUAUAUAUGAACCGUUAAGCCCGUUGUACACUGUUAGAUGACAGCAAUUUUGAAAUGUAUAGAAAUCUUGGCCAUUGAUCAAAAAAGGUGUCGACAAAAUCUUUUUAUAAUAAUUCAAUUAAUCUUGUUGGACAGGGUCAAUGACACCCUCUUGACAGACUUUUGAAUUUUCCCACGUGUCAAAGGCAAUUUCACGAGGGAAAUAAGAGCAGCACGUGAGAGGGAGAAAAAGGCAUUUCUUGAGAUAAAUGAGGGAAAUACGCAGACAUUUAAGAGGAAAAAUAGAGCAGCACCGGUACCAUAAUUUUUUCCCCAAAUUGAAAAAAAGAAAUUCUGAUUUUGGUUUUGCCCGGCGUGAGAUCUUCAACAGGUACCUGUACGGCCACGACUGUGAUUCUAAUUUCUUGCUCUAAUCUUUUGUCGCCAACAUUCCAAGAAAAGUCCGUUAAUUAGUAAGUUUCUAAUUUUGUUCGAUUCUUUAAUUAGCCCUCAUUUGUUUCUCGUUUUUGGAAGAAUGAAAAUGAAAAAUAUAAUCGUUACGAACCCCACACAAGAGAUAGAAAUUCAAAUUUGAUGGCUUGAUGUGAUAGAUAACGAUUAUAUUUUUCAUUUUAAUGAGAAAAGAAUGAGAACCAACAGAAGCUUAAUAAGUUUCCUUCUUUGUUUGGGUUGAAACCAAAGAAGACAUUAAUUCUUUUGAAGCACUUCAACCAUUUAACUGAGCUUGUAGAAGUUUGUUACCCUAUUUGGUUGGAAAAAUAGAGAAACUGCAUUCAAUGUUCAUUUAAUAUAAACCAAUUCUCCCAAAAACAGGGAAACAACAUUCAAUGUUCAUUUAAUACGAACCAAUUUAUCACCAAAAUAAAAAAAAACGGUGGUCCCGAUCAAACACUAUUCGUUUGGACUUAAUGAGAUAGGACAUCCUUGUGUUCAAGUCAACGACUAUUUGAUAAUUUCAAUUCUAGAUCAUACAAGAAAAUAAUAAACCUGGCCCAACUUUUUCAGUUUUUCAGGUAAUCAAAUAGAAAAUCAAAAGCCCAAUUUGAAAUCAAGAUUGAAUCCAUGCUUGUAUGAUGGGUAUUGGGGUUUCCAUGGGUAUUCUGUAAAGAAGUGGCUUUUAGAUUUAUAACUAUAACAGAUUCUAUAAUUUCUUCUGACCAUUCUACGAUGGGAAUAAACCAUAGAGCAAUGUCAAUGCAAACAAAAGCUAAUUCAGUAUGACGAUUCACGCAAUCAAAGGGAAUUAAAUCACAAUUAAAGGAGGAAACACCGAACAACCAUCAAAAUUAUCCCAAAAUGUGUAGCUAGUAUAAAAUCGAAUAUAUAUAAUAAAUCUUGAUUCUCAAUGAAUUAGGCUAAAAUUCUCCAACAAAAAUGACAAAAUUCACUCAUCCAGGUCAAUAACAUUUGAACAAAUUGUAUUCACAAGCUUACAAAAUGGGGGUGAGUUCCUUUUCUACCUGUGUAGAGCAUACAAGUGAAAAUUGACAUGAGUGAGAGAAAUCUAGUGCUGAUUUAGCUAUCGAUUGGAGAUGGUCAAGCAUGAGGCGACGAAAACAUGGAUGUAAGAGCAGUUAGAGUAGAGGCAAAAAUGUCGAGUGAAGUGCAACCGGAGAUCCAAAAUCAUCAAACAGCGGAAUAGUAGAUGCAAGUGUUGUCGAAGGAGCAGUGAUACUUUCGAUUGACACGCAGACGGAGAUGGUGAGCCGUGGGGAGAGGCCUUGAAGGUGUGGAUUUUGAUUUCACUGAAAUGUAUUCUGAUAAGUGCGUUUUUAUGCACUCAUUUAACUAACAAACAUGACUAAAUUACGAGCAAAGUGUUUGAAUUAUGGCUUAAAUUUGUUUAAUUCGUGUACUAUAGGUCAUAUUGAUGGACAUGAUGGAAUUCACGAGAAAAAGAAGUGAAAAGGACCAAAAUGAAAAUUUAGGAACCAAAGCGCAAAUAUCCAAAAGUUGAACUAAAAGACGAAUCGAAAAUUUGAUUGUACCACUACCAAUUGGAGGAUAAUAAAGGUCGAUAGAAUGAGAUGAACGAAGAAACGAGGCCAAAGUGGAAGAGAGGAAAGUUCAAGGAUUAAAAUGAAUAUAUUCAAAAGUGUGCUUCUAUGCUACCGCAAGUGUUAUACCUAUGCGGUUGCAAGCUAGGUUACCGAAAGUGAAAAGUCCAAAAUUUUUAUUCCUAGGCGGUCGUAUAGGCUCAUUUUGGUGGCCGUUUCAGCAAUUUUUUAUUUACGUUAAAAUUCUUUUGGAACUCGAUCUUGACGCGAUAUAAAAGUUUAGACUCGUCAGAAUUAGGGUUAGAACGCAUUGGAGGAGUACAAAACAUAUCUUAGAAUCGAAUUUGAGGGAGAUUUAGGAUUUCAAAAAGAACAUCAAGAUUUCACCUGUAUCUAUAAUUUGGUAAUGUUUUAUCUUCGAGAAUUCAUAUAUUCUUUUAUGUUUUCCAUGUUAAGCUAGAUUUUCUUGUACUAGGAGAUUGAUGAGCUAUGUAAUGUCAUCUUUGGAUUUUAAUUUUUUCAAUUUAACAAUUAAACGCGUAUUUAAUUAUAUGAAUGGUUUAUAAGCAUUAAUUUAUUCCAUAAUUAAGUGCACGUAAUUAUAUGAUAUGUAGUAAUUUAUUUCUUACAUUUGAGAGAAUGGAAAUAGAUUUGACAAGGUAUAAAUUAUUGUAGGAUCCGAUAGGGGAUAAAAAUAUACAUUUAUACUUUGCGUGAAUCGUUAAUUGUUCAUAAAACUACAUGCAUUCUUAUGUAUAUACAUCCUUCAUAGAGAUAUAAGUUGGUGGUAUAUAAGAAUAAGUUUGAUAUUGCUCGCAAGAGUAUGUUGGAUAGAUUUAGGAACAUUGAUUCUUCAAUAAUCCAAUCGUGUUGUCAGAUUGUGAAAUUAGGGUUUUAAGUGAUCAUUACAUAGGAAUUUGUGAUCCCAGUCCGUUUAAUUCUUAUUGAGUAAAUUCAACCUACAUUUCAAUCAUCACAUUGCAUUUAAAUUCAUUUAGAUACAUCGUUUUGCAUUUUCAAUUCAUUCAACAAUCAUUCUAGUCAAAUUAGGGUUUGAUAUAUUAGGGUUUUUUAGGUUAAAACUUCAAAUUUGAUAAAUUCGUUUCGGUUAAGGCUAAAAUAGAUAAAGUUGAACUACUCGAUCUAUGUGAGACGAUAUUCGAAAAUUAAUAUUCCACUUUAUUACUUGUGAACGAACCGUACACUUGCUGUAAAUUAAAUGGAAAGAAAAUAUUUCGUAAACACAUUCCAUGGGUGGUGGGUGUUGAAUUGGGGGAAAGCAAUUCCGUUGGAUCUUUUAAGUUUCUAAUUUUUUGCUUUUUUUUUCUUUUUUAAAUUUUGAAUGCCAUGUAAGCCGGGAAAUGGCCUGUAAAUGAAUUGUCCGUCUAGCGGAAUUGAUAAUAAUUUACCAACUCACAUGAUCUCAAAGGAAUCGUCAAGCUUAUAUAUUGCAUGAUUGAUAUAUACAAUGGGAUUUGCUUAUUGUAAUAGUGAAAAGUACAUAAUGGGACAAGACUAAAGGGCAUAUUAUGAUUACAGUCUCAUGAGAAGACAGAAAAUUCAAAUGUCAUCUUCGAUUGAUAUAUUGACUUAAAAAGUUGGAUUACAAUCAACAUUUGCUCUAUUCAUACACUUUUCAGAAUUCACAACUUAUCAAAUUUUUAAUCAAAAUAAACUAUUUUUCUUUUUAGUCAAACAACUCUUUAAUGAUAAUGAUUAAACAAUAAUAAAAUAAAGUACAUAUCCAAAUGAGAUUGUGAACGCAAGAUCUCGGUGGAAUGACUAGACGGAUGGAGGAUCACAUAGAACUAUUUUGCGAUGAAAAAAUUUGUACAAAGAGACUUCGACCAUUCAUCAAAAUUUAUGUUAACAAAUAACUGCUAUUUACAAUGUCGAAAGGUCAUUAGGGAUGGCAAAAUGUCUCAGAUGCAGGGCGGAAACAUGGUCUCGGCCCGAAUCCUCCUCGAUUAACAUUUAUUUUUAUUUUUAUGUUUAUAAAUUUAAAUAAUAUUUUAAAAGUAAAAGUUAUUAGAAGAAUAAAAAUAUAUUCUUUGUUACUCGCAGCAAGAAAAGUCCACAAAAAAGAUUCAACCCUGAAAAGAUGAAACCUAACUUUUCUAGUCAUAUUUUCACACUGACUGCAUCUCUAUUUUUCAACUGAUUAGUUGUUGAAAAACAAAGUAAACUUCAAAGAAAAUGUAAUUUAUGGCGCAUUGAACUGUUUUUUCAAUUUUGAAGAUAUAAAGAAGAGAGUUGCAAUAAGUGUAUGUUGACAAUUAUCAAAAAAAUUUGUCAAAUCUUACAAAAUGUACAUAUAGCCCCCGUUUGAUUCCCAUUUAUGCAAGAAUGAAAAUGAAAAAUAUAGUCGUUACGAGACUCACACAAGAGAGAGAAAGUCAAAUAUAAUGACUUGAAGUACUGGAUAACAGUCAUAUUUUUUAUUUUUAUGGUCAAAAAAUGGGAAACAAACGGGGUCAUAGUUGGAAUGGAUCCAUGUCCCCAUAUUAAGGACUGAUUGUUAUAUGUAAGUCUUGUUUUAACGGUGGACACGUAAAAUUUUCAAAAGUGUUUAUUUGACCAGACAAAAUUGGACUUUUGACUCCACCGAACAAAAGGUUUUAGCCAUUUACAUAAUUGUUUGUCAAUAUUAGUAGAGCCAAAAAUAAUAUGGCUAAUGACGAAGGAUCCAGCUGGCUUAAAUUUUUCAAUAAAUUUAAUACUAAAUCGAAGAGAGUGGCACAAAGAAUUCGUCUAGUUUUCCUAGAUUUAUUGAGUUAAGGCUUUAUUUUUAUUUUUUUUCCUAUACAAGUAGUCACGUAUUGCGUGAAUUCCAUUAAAACAUAAAUCUAUAAAAUUCUUGAAUUUAUCUCUUAAUCUUAGGGUCCGUUUGAUUUCGCCUGUUUUCCAUGGAAAUAUUUUCCAUUUUCCAACUUUGGCAUGUUUGAUGGCAAUAAUUUUUUUGGCAAUUUACUUCUUCACUCCACACAUGUGCCAUUUCCUUAGUUUUGUGAAACAUUAAUUCCCACCAAACCCAUGGGAAUUGGUUUUCCGGCCCCCACCCUCCCCCCUCCUUUUUUUGCAUUUGGAACAAAUUUUAUUUCCAAUUGUAACAAACUUUGUCCCUUUAAUUAACAAUUUUCAUGAAAAACAAAGUACAAAGUCAAACAAACACCAAAAAAUAGAAAAUUUCAACAUUUUUCCGAUGGAAAAUUAUACCAAUCAAAUACAUUAGUUGACAAUUAUUAGGAAAACAAGUUUAGGUAAGAAUUCGUUUUCUUUUCACCUAAAUUCCAUUCUUGACCCUUAGUAUAAUUUCCUCCAUGAAAAAAAAAAAAAAAACAAAAACAAAAGAAGAAGUUGAAUUUACCUUUAAAUGCAGCGUGGCCAGCGGCCGGAGCAGUUUCGCCUUCCCCUCCUACAUCAUGUCUUAUUCAAGUCUUGUUUGGCUAUUGAAAAUAAAACAAAAAGUGAUUAUAUUAUAUGGUCCAGAAACACUUAAUCCUGAGAAAAUCCGUUUAUGUUUAGCAAGAAAUGGCUAUGGAAUACUGAAUUUUUGGAGGAUUUGAGGGGAAUGAAGCCUGGUCCGAGAUCAGUCGCAGGAUGUCUGAAUAUCAUGGAAUGGUCUCGAACCAGGCAACAUUCACCUCAACAAUUCAUCUGUAUUUACGAGAGAGAAAGAGAGAAAAGAUGGGAGUGUUUG
rnacentral:lncRNA from 1 species